rnacentral:rRNA from 1 species
GCAUAUCAAUAAGCGGAGGAAAAGAAACCAACAGGGAUUACCUCAGUAACGGCGAGUGAAGCGGUAACAGCUCAAAUUUGAAAUCUGGCAGCAAUGUCCGAGUUGUAAUUUGUAGAGGAUGUUUCGAGCAUGGUCUGGCCUAAGUUCCUUGGAACAGGACGUCAUAGAGGGUGAGAAUCCCGUAUGCGGUCAGGUGCCUACGCUCAUGUGAAACUCCUUCGACGAGUCGAGUUGUUUGGGAAUGCAGCUCAAAAUGGGUGGUAAAUUUCAUCUAAAGCUAAAUAUUGGCCAGAGACCGAUAGCGCACAAGUAGAGUGAUCGAAAGAUGAAAAGCACUUUGGAAAGAGAGUUAAACAGUACGUGAAAUUGUUGAAAGGGAAGCGCUUGCAACCAGACUUGCACGCAGUUAAUCAUCCGCUGUUCUCAGUGGUGCACUUGAUUGCGUUCAGGCCAGCAUCGGUUUUGGUGGUGGGAUAAAGGCCUUAGGAAUGUAGCUGCUUUCGGGCAGUGUUAUAGCCUAGGGUGCAAUGCCGCCUACUGGGACCGAGGACCGCGCUUCGGCUAGGAUGCUGGCGUAAUGGUUGUAAGCGACCCGUCUUGAAACACGGACCAAGGAGUCUAACAUCUAUGCGAGUGUUUGGGUGUCAAACCCAUACGCGUAAUGAAAGUGAACGGAGGUCAGAACCCUUAAGGGUGCAUGAUCGACCGGUCCUGAAGUCUUCGGAUGGAUCUGAGUAAGAGCAUAGCUGUUGGGACCCGAAAGAUGGUGAACUAUGCCUGAAUAGGGUGAAGCCAGAGGAAACUCUGGUGGAGGCUCGCAGCGGUUCUGACGUGCAAAUCGAUCGUCAAAUUUGGGUAUAGGGGCGAAAGACUAAUCGAACCAUCUAGUAGCUGGUUCCUGC